rnacentral:rRNA from 1 species
ACUAGGUAGAUAGGUCAGAGAUGGAAGCAUGGCGACAUGUGGAGUUGACUGAUACUAAUCGAUCGAGGACUUAACCACA